GUGCCAGCCGCCGCGGUAACACCGGCGGCCCGAGUGGUGAUCGUGAUUAUUGGGUCUAAAGGGUCCGUAGCCGGUUUGGUCAGUCCUCCGGGAAAUCUGACGGCUCAACCGUUAGGCUUUCGGGGGAUACUGCCAGGCUUGGAACCGGGAGAGGUAAGAGGUACUACAGGGGUAGGAGUGAAAUCUUGUAAUCCCUGUGAGACCACCUGUGGCGAAGGCGUCUUACCAGAACGGGUUCGACGGUGAGGGACGAAAGCUGGGGGCACGAACCGGAUUAGAAACCCGCGUAGUCC
rnacentral:rRNA from 1 species